UGGGGAAUAUUGGACAAUGGGCGCAAGCCUGAUCCAGCCAUGCCGCGUGAGUGAUGACGGCCUUAGGGUUGUAAAGCUCUUUUCUCCGGGACGUUAAUGACGGUACCGGAGGAAUAAGCCCCGGCUAACUUCGUGCCAGCAGCCGCGGUAAUACGAAGGGGGCUAGCGUUGCUCGGAAUCACUGGGCGUAAAGGGCGCGUAGGCGGCGUUUUAAGUCGGGGGUGAAAGCCUGUGGCUCAACCACAGAAUGGCCUUCGAUACUGGGACGCUUGAGUCUGGUAGAGGUUGGUGGAACUGCGAGUGUAGAGGUGAAAUUCGUAGAUAUUCGCAAGAACAACGGUGGCGAAGGCGGCCAACUGGACCAGUACUGACGCUGAGGCGCGAAAGCGUGGGGAGCAAACAGG
rnacentral:rRNA from 1 species